rnacentral:misc_RNA from 1 species
GAUGAAGAACGCAGUGAAAUGCGAUAGGUAAUGUGAAUUGCAGAAUUCAGUGAAUCAUCGAAUCUUUGAACGCACAUUGCGCCCUUUGGUAUUCCUUAGGGCAUGCCUGGUCGAGCGUCACUACACACCUUAUCACAAUAUUUGUGGUCUUGGCAGGAGUGAAUUGCUGGUCUAUGGAAGUAUUCCAGCAGUACACAAUGCUAAAAAAUAUGGGAAGGUUACCAGAUAUGAACAACAGACUUUGUAAAUGGUUGUAGGACCUAGAUCAGUCACAAGUCAUGUCUGGUCCCUUACCUUAAGGACCCCCAUCCUAGAUGAACUAUGGGUUGACCUCGGAUCAGGUAGGAAUACCCGCUGAACUUAAGCAUAUCAAUAAGCGGAGGA